UGACCCCAUGCCGAACUCAGAAGUGAAACGCCGUAGCGCCGAUGGUAGUGUGGGGUCUCCCCAUGCGAGAGUAGGGAACUGCCAGGCA
rnacentral:rRNA from 64 species